rnacentral:rRNA from 1 species
UACGUAGGGGGCUAGCGUUGUCCGGAAUCAUUGGGCGUAAAGCGCGUGUAGGCGGUCCGGUAAGUCCGCUGUGAAAGUCGGGGGCUCAACCCUCGGAUGCCGGUGGAUACUGUCGGGCUUGAGUACGGAAGAGGCGAGUGGAAUUCCUGGUGUAGCGGUGAAAUGCGCAGAUAUCAGGAGGAACACCAAUUGCGAAGGCAGCUCGCUGGGACGUUACUGACGCUGAUGCGCGAAAGCCAGGGGAGCGAACGGG